AAAAAGGAGAAGAAAAAAA
rnacentral:sRNA from 1 species